AGUGAGGAGAGGGUGUGUUUGUGCAGCGGGCGGAGGGUGGGCAGGCCGGGGGACACGGAGCAGCCACCUUGGCUGUCUUCCUCCCGUGGGCCUCCCGUCCAGCCAGGCCACGCUGAGCGGCGCUGUGUCAAGAUGUAGGGCGGACAGAACCUCCCCAUCGAAACACACUCCUUUCUCCUCCUUGGGGCGUCAGAGGGAGGCAUUCCUUGCUGAGGAAAAGCUGUCCAGCUCCCUUUUUAAAGCUCUUUAAUCUCCCGUGCUACGAUAAAGUACCACUGAAGAGUGGGUUUAAAAGAAACUUGCACAGCUACCUAGUCACUCCACUGGAGCUGGACGAUGGCCAUUCCUCCGUCUCUUCUGCUCUUCGUCCUACAUCCUGAGCAGUGCACAGACUUCUGCGUACAUUUGCUACUGAGUCUUCUAAAAUUCAAAAUCAGGUCUGGUGGUAAAUAGAAGGAACUGGAAGUGAAUGGCAUAUUCUAAAGGCUGUUUAACGAUAUGGUAGGUCUCAGCUCAAAUGUCAGCUCCUCAGACCGGCUGUCCUCCACUGCCCUCCCUACAGAAGACGGCCAGUGACGCGUGCCCUCACCCCACUCAGUGCCUUCAUAGAUCCUGUUGGCUUAUUUGGAAGCAAUAGAUACCCUGCCUUGCUCAUCUCUGUAUCUCUAGAACGCAGAGAAAGGCCUGGCUCAUAGUAGGAGCACAGUAAAUGUUUUUCAAUAAAUGAAUGA